rnacentral:rRNA from 1 species
AGUGAACGCUGGCGGUAGGCCUAACACAUGCAAGUCGAACGGAAGCACAGUAAGAGCUUGCUCUUACGGGUGGCGAGUGGCGGACGGGUGAGGAAUACAUCGGAAUCUACUUUUUCGUGGGGGAUAACGUAGGGAAACUUACGCUAAUACCGCAUACGACCUACGGGUGAAAGCAGGGGAUCUUCGGACCUUGCGCGAUUGAAUGAGCCGAUGUCGGAUUAGCUAGUUGGCGGGGUAAAGGCCCACCAAGGCGACGAUCCGUAGCUGGUCUGAGAGGAUGAUCAGCCACACUGGAACUGAGACACGGUCCAGACUCCUACGGGAGGCAGCAGUGGGGAAUAUUGGACAAUGGGCGCAAGCCUGCUCCAGCCAUACCGCGUGGGUGAAGAAGGCCUUCGGGUUGUAAAGCCCUUUUGUUGGGAAAGAAAAGCAGCAGGUUAAUACCCCGCUGUUCUGACGGUACCCAAAGAAUAAGCACCGGCUAACUUCGUG